AGCUCACAUAGGCUGUAUCUGUAUUGCGUGCAAGGAGUGCCUUGUGAGAGAUCCCUGAAUUGGUUGGAGGCUCCACACAGCUGUGCUGCUAUGCAGAGGGACUGGCCUAGGCUGUGGGUGCAGGAUGGCUGUUAGCAUGGUGCCACAGGGAGGAGUGUGAUCCUCCAAAUAUUUCAAAAGAGAGAGAAGGAAUACCACUGAUCUCAGAAUACUGCAGUAAGACUCUGGAGAAAGAACUGUAUCCACUUCCUAGCUCUGCCAUGGCAAGAAUGACCUCAGAGACCUCCUGAGACCUCUUGUCCACAUUUCACUGUUUAAGUGACCAGCGUGCAUCUGACCCUAAAACAUUGCAAACUGCCUCAGAAGUUGGCCCCUUACAACUGGUGUUUGAAGAUGGGGACAGUCUAGGAGCCCUCAGAAGAAUUUUAGCUGCAUGCUCCUGAAAGUGGCUCUGAAGGAUCUUGGGAUGGAGGUUCAUGCUGGCUUUGCCUCAGUCCAUCUCUCCAUCACCAGAAAAGUGCCCACAGCCAGAAGGUGAUGGACCAGCAUGCCCUGGGGAACUCAGAGUUCAUAGUUGGCAGAGAGGCAAAGUUCUGAAGCAUCAUCAGACCCAGGAGUCCUGGAGAGCCUCUUUCCUUCUGAGGAGCCCAAGAGAUAAAUGUCUCAGUACUGUUUGAGAAAAGGCUGCAUGGCGAUAAAUAACAUGGCAAGUGAUGAUACUGCCUUGUCCUUUGAGGGAUCGCGGUGCAUACAGUUGAAUUAGAAUAAAAAGAUCAAUCUUUGACUGUUACCCAGUGAAGAAGCCGUUCAUCUUUAGGAGCAGGGCUUGAAAUGUAUGGUGCUCUAGUAAUAUAUUAUUUGUAAAGGCCAAGAUUAAUUAAUUUUCAGUCAGAUAAACUGGUAUUUUUUUGUGCCAAAGGCUCUCAUUCAUCCUUGCUGUCACUGAAAUGAGAUAAACCACACAACCACAACUUUGUUAAUUGUGCCAGUCACAUUUUGCAGUAUAUACUAAAUGGUUGGUGUGUGAGGAUG